UACGUAGGGGGCUAGCGUUGUCCGGAUUUAUUGGGCGUAAAGAGCGUGUAGGCGGCCAGGUAGGUCUGCUGUGAAAACUCGAGGCUCAACCUCGAGACGUCGGCGGAAACCAUCUGGCUAGAGUCCGGAAGAGGAGAGUGGAAUUCCUGGUGUAGCGGUGAAAUGCGCAGAUAUCAGGAAGAACACCCGUGGCGAAGGCGGUUCUCUGGGACGGUACUGACGCUGAGACGCGAAAGCGUGGGGGAGCGAACAGG
rnacentral:rRNA from 1 species